UGGGGAAUAUUGCACAAUGGGCGAAAGCCUGAUGCAGCAACGCCGCGUGAGGGAAGACGGUUUUCGGAUUGUAAACCUCUGUUUUCGGUGACGAACAAAUGACGGUAACCGAGUAGGAAGCCACGGCUAACUACGUGCCAGCAGCCGCGGUAAUACGUAGGUGGCAAGCGUUAUCCGGAAUUACUGGGUGUAAAGGGAGCGCAGGCGGGAUAGCAAGUCAGCUGUGAAAACUAUGGGCUCAACCCAUAAACUGCAGUUGAAACUGUUAUUCUUGAGUGGAGUAGAGGCAAGCGGAAUUCCGAGUGUAGCGGUGAAAUGCGUAGAUAUUCGGAGGAACACCAGUGGCGAAGGCGGCUUGCUGGGCUCUAACUGACGCUGAGGCUCGAAAGUGUGGGGAGCAAACAGGA
rnacentral:rRNA from 1 species